AACCCGCCUGCGUGAAGUUGGAAUUGCUAGUAAUCGCGGAUCAGCAUGCCGCGGUGAAUACGUUCCCGGGCCUUGUACACACCGCCCGUCACACCAUGGGAGCCGGUAAUACCCGAAGUCAGUAGCCUAACCGCAAGGGGGGCGCUGCCGAAGGUAGGAUUGGCGACUGGGGUGAAGUCGUAACAAGGUAUC
rnacentral:rRNA from 1 species